UGCGGUUCUAUUUCUGUUUCUUCAGGUAAAUUAUUUUAUGAAAGACGACAAGUUGACCGAUAGCCUCUAAAAUAGAUCCCUGUUUUUCUUUUGGUUUUUGACUUAAAUUUCUGGAAGUGAUUGUGUAUCGUGAACUAUAAUAGGUCAAUCACAGUUGGCAUACACUGAAAUUAGAAUGUACUUGUACUUGGCUCUUGUUUUGAACAAUAUAUGCUCCUUUACUAUUCAACUGAAUUUAGCACUCAGAGAUAAUUCUGUAUUGCCAAGUCUAUUUGGGAUAUUAGCUGGUACAGAUUAUCUCCCUUGCAAUGGAG
rnacentral:lncRNA from 1 species